rnacentral:rRNA from 1 species
GACGAACGCUGGCGGCGUGCUUAACACAUGCAAGUCGAACGGAAAGGCCCUGCUUUUGUGGGGUGCUCGAGUGGCGAACGGGUGAGUAACACGUGAGUAACCUGCCCUUGACUUUGGGAUAACUUCAGGAAACUGGGGCUAAUACCGGAUAGGAGCUCCUGCUGCAUGGUGGGGGUUGGAAAGUUUCGGCGGUUGGGGAUGGACUCGCGGCUUAUCAGCUUGUUGGUGGUGUAGUGGCUUACCAAGGCUUUGACGGGUAGCCGGCCUGAGAGGGUGACCGGCCACAUUGGGACUGAGAUACGGCGCAGAAGCCUACGGGAGGCAGCAGGGGGGAAUAUUGCACAAUGGGCGGAAGCCUGAGGCAGCAACGCCGCGUGCGGGAUGACGGCCUUCGGGUGGUAAACCGCUGUCGCCUGUGACGAAGCGGGAGUGACGGUAAUGGGUAAAGAAGCACCGGCUAACUACGUG